rnacentral:rRNA from 1 species
UACGGAGGGUGCAAGCGUUGUCCGGAUUUAUUGGGUUUAAAGGGUACGUAGGCGGUUUAUUAAGUCAGUGGUGAAAGUUUACAGCUUAACUGUGAAAGUGCCAUUGAUACUGAUAAACUUGAGUAUUGUAGAGGCAGGCGGAAUUCCUCAUGUAGCGGUGAAAUGCAUAGAUAUGAGGAGGAACACCAAAAGCGAAGGCAGCUUGCUGGGCAAUAACUGACGCUGAGGUACGAAAGUGUGGGGAGCGAACAGG